CACGAACCCGACAAACGUUAUUCGGAAUUACUGGGCUUAAAGGGUGCGUAGGCGGCGCGGAAAGUUGGGUGUGAAAUCCCUCGGCUCAACCGAGGAAUGGCGCUCAAAACUACCGUGCUCGAGGGAGAUAGAGGAGUGCGGAACUUACGGUGGAGCGGUGAAAUGCGUUGAUAUCGUAGGGAACACCGGUGGCGAAAGCGGCGCUCUGGAUCUCUUCUGACGCUGAUGCACGAAAGCUAGGGUAGCGAACGGG
rnacentral:rRNA from 1 species